AGCGAACGCUGGCGGCAGGCUUAACACAUGCAAGUCGAGCGGGCACUUUCGGGUGUCAGCGGCGGACGGGUGAGUAGCGCGUGGGAACGUGCCCUCUGGUUCGGAAUAACUCAGGGAAACUUGAGCUAAUACCGGAUACGCCCUUUUGGGGAAAGGCUUGCUGCCGGAGGAUCGGCCCGCGUCUGAUUAGCUAGUUGGUGAGGUAACGGCUCACCAAGGCGACGAUCAGUAGCUGGUCUGAGAGGAUGAUCAGCCACACUGGGACUGAGACACGGCCCAGACUCCUACGGGAGGCAGCAGUGGGGAAUAUUGGACAAUGGGCGCAAGCCUGAUCCAGCCAUGCCGCGUGAGUGAUGAAGGCCUUAGGGUUGUAAAGCUCUUUUAUCCGGGACGAUAAUGACGGUACCGGAGGAAUAAGCCCCGGCUAACUUCGUG
rnacentral:rRNA from 1 species